rnacentral:rRNA from 1 species
UGGGGAAUAUUGGACAAUGGGCGCAAGCCUGAUCCAGCCAUGCCGCGUGUGUGAAGAAGGCCUUCGGGUUGUAAAGCACUUUCAGCGAGGAGGAAGGGAGUUGUGUUAAUAGCACAGCUUCUUGACGUUACUCGCAGAAGAAGCACCGGCUAACUCUGUGCCAGCAGCCGCGGUAAUACAGAGGGUGCAAGCGUUAAUCGGAAUUACUGGGCGUAAAGCGCACGUAGGCGGUUUUUAAGUCAGAUGUGAGAGCCCCGGGCUCAACCUGGGAAUUGCAUUUGAAACUGGAAAACUAGAGUGUGUGAGAGGGGGGUAGAAUUCCAAGUGUAGCGGUGAAAUGCGUAGAGAUUUGGAGGAAUACCAGUGGCGAAGGCGGCCCCCUGGCACAACACUGACGCUCAGGUGCGAAAGCGUGGGGAGCAAACAGGAUUAGAUACCCGAGUAGUCCCUGAGCGGGCUGGCAAGGCGC